rnacentral:sRNA from 2 species
CCCUACAACGCGCCGAGCUCCAUCCGGUAGGCGGGGGAUUCCGACCCACGGAUGGAGGCGGGGGACCCACCAGGUCCGCCGAGAUCGGACCGGGCUCUUCACGGCCCUUGGGGUGAAGCCGACGUCGUCCCACAGAUGUAGUACGACGCUGGCCGGGUAACCUCUCCAACCCGAACCCGACAGCUGACCUCGCAGGCGUGUACCGAGAGGAAUU